rnacentral:tRNA from 1 species
GGGGAUAUGGCGAAAUCG